GGUUUGCUGGUAUCUGUUCUCCCUCCUGGUGAAGUUGAGCAACAAGUGAAUCCAGUGACGGAGCUGAAUGUCUCGUGUAUAAGCUCUGUUCCUAUAUACGUGACUAUAACUUGCCGUUCCGCUUAGAAGUGUGGCAGUAAAGCUUGUAUAGGUGCAGUCCUACUUUGUGAGCUGCUUCUGUACACAGCUCUUCAAUGAACGUCCAGUGACAGCAGAUGGUCAGUUCUGUGGUCUCAACAUUCCAGCAAUCAUGAACGAAAUGCCAGAGGCUUCUAUGGAUACUGGACAACUAAUCUAACCG